CAAUAGCGUAUAUUAAAGUUGUUGCAGUUAGAACGCUCGUAGUCGGAUUUCGGGGCGGGCCGACCGGUCUGCCGAUGGGUACGCACUGGUCGGCGCGUCCUUCCUUCCGGAGACCGUUCCUACUCUUAACUGAGCGGGGGCGGGAGACGGAUCGUUUACUUUGAAAAAAUCAGAGUGUUUCAAGCAGGCAGCUCGCUCUUGCAUGGAUUAGCAUGGGAUAAUGAAAUAGGACUUUGGUGCUAUUUUGUUGGUUUCGAACACCGAAGUAAUGAUUAAAAGGGACAGUCAGGGGCACUCGUAUUCCGCCGAGAGAGGUGAAAUUCUCAGACCAGCGGAAGACGAACUACUGCGAAAGCAUUUGCCAGGGAUGUUNUCACUCA
rnacentral:rRNA from 1 species